UCAUAUGCUUGUCUCAAAGAUUAAGCCAUGCAUGUCUCAGUACAAGCCAAAUUAAGGUGAAACCGCGAAAGGCUCAUUAAAUCAGUUAUGGUUCCUUAGAUCGUACCCACAAUUACUUGGAUAACUGUGGUAAUUCUAGAGCUAAUACAUGCAAACAGAGCUCCGACCGGAGACGGAAGGAGUGCUUUUAUUAGAUCAAAAMCAAUCGGUGGCGGGUUCGCGCUCGUUAUCGUACAACUUGGUGACUCUGAAUAACUUUACGCUGAUCGCACGGUCAUCGCACCGGCGACGCAUCUUUCAAAUGUCUGCCUUAUCAACUGUCGAUGGUAGGUUCUGCGCCUACCAUGGUUGUAACGGGUAACGGGGAAUCAGGGUUCGAUUCCGGAGAGGGAGCCUGAGAAACGGCUACCACAUCCAAGGAAGGCAGCAGGCGCGCAAAUUACCCACUCCCGGCACGGGGAGGUAGUGACRAAAAAUAACGAUACGGGACUCAUCCGAGGCCCCGUAAUCGGAAUGAGUACACUCUAAACCCUUUAACGAGGAUCAAUUGGAGGGCAAGUCUGGUGCC
rnacentral:rRNA from 1 species